rnacentral:rRNA from 1 species
UGUAGGCGGCCGGGUAAGUCAGAUGUGAAAUCCCUUGGCUUAACCAAGGAAGGGCAUUUGAAACUGCCUGGCUUGAGUACGGGAGGGGGAAGUGGAAUUCCCGGUGUAGAGGUGAAAUUCGUAGAUAUCGGGAGGAACACCGGUGGCGAAGGCGGCUUCCUGGACCGAUACUGACGCUGAGACGCGAAAGCGUGGGGAGCAAACAGGAUUAGAUACCCUGGUAGUCCACGCCGUAAACGUUGGGCACUAGGUGUUGCGGGUAUUGACCCCUGCAGUGCCGAAGCUAACGCAUUAAGUGCCCCCGCCUGGGGAGUACGGUCGCAAGGCUAAA